AAGGUGUGUUACAACUGCUUUCGUAGU
rnacentral:sRNA from 1 species